AGUGAACGCUGGCGGCGUGCCUAAUACAUGCAAGUCGAACGGAGUGGCGCACGGGGGUGUAUUACAUAGCUAAUCCGCCCUUCACUAGAGGACAACAGUUGGAAACGGCUGAUAAUAUACUAUAGUGUAGGAUGAGGCUAUAUUGUAUCAGCUAGUUGUUGAGGUAUUGGCUACCGAAGGCUAUGACGCAUAACUGGUCGGUGAGGAUGCUCAGUCACACUGGAACUGGGACACGGUCCAGACUCCUACGGGAUGCAGCAGUAGGGAAUAUUGCUCAGUGGGGGAAACCCUGAAGCAGCAACGCCGCGUGGAGGAUGACACUUUUCGGAGCGUAAACUCCUUUUGUAAGGGAAGCGGUACCUAACGAAUAAGCACCGGCUAACUACGUGCCAGCAGCCGCGGUAAUAC
rnacentral:rRNA from 1 species